UACGUAGGGUGCAAGCGUUGUCCGGAUUUAUUGGGCGUAAAGAGCUCGUAGGCGGCUUGGCAAGUCGGGUGUGAAACCUCCAGGCUCAACCUGGAGACGCCACUCGAUACUGCUAUGGCUAGAGUCCGGUAGGGGACCACGGAAUUCCUGGUGUAGCGGUGAAAUGCGCAGAUAUCAGGAGGAACACCGGUGGCGAAGGCGGUGGUCUGGGCCGGCACUGACGCUGAGGAGCGAAAGCGUGGGUAGCAAACAGG
rnacentral:rRNA from 1 species